UUCAUUGGGUUUAAAGGGUGCGUAGGCGGAUUGGUAAGUCAGUGGUGAAAUCCUCUCGCUUAACGGGAGAAUUGCCGUUGAUACUAUCAAUCUUGAGUACACUUGAAGUGGGCGGAAUGUGUCAUGUAGCGGUGAAAUGCAUAGAUAUGACACAGAACACCGAUUGCGAAGGCAGCUCACUAAAUUGUAACUGACGCUGAGGCACGAAAGCGUGGGGAGCAAACAGGAUUAGAUACCCUGGUAGUCCACGCUGUAAACGAUGAUCACUAGCUGUUGGCGAUACACUGUCAGCGGCUGAGCGAAAGUAUUAAGUGAUCCACCUGGGGAGUACGAUCGCAAGGUUGAAACUCAAAGGAAUUGACGGGGGCCCGCACAAGCGGAGGAGCAUGUGGUUUAAUUCGAUGAUACGCGAGGAACCUCACCCAGGCUUAAAUGCUUUUUGACCGUCCUGGAAACAGGAUUUCCCUUCGGGGCAAAUUGCAAGGUGCUGCAUGGUUGUCGUCAGCUCGUGCCGUGAGGUGUCGGGUUAAGUCCCAUAACGAGCGCAACCCCUAUUCUUAGUUGCCAUCAGGUAAUGCUGGGAACUCUAAGGAAACUGCCUACGCAAGUAGUGAGGAAGGUGGGGAUGACGUCAAAUCAGCACGGCCCUUACGCCUAGGGCUACACACGUGCUACAAUGGCCAGCAUAGUGGGUUGCUACCUGGUAACAGGAUGCUAAUCUCUAAAUCUGGUCUCAGUUCGGAUUGAAGUCUGCAACUCGACUUCAUGAAGUUG
rnacentral:rRNA from 1 species